rnacentral:rRNA from 1 species
CUGUGGGGGAUAAAGGCUUUGGGAAUGUGGCUCCUCCGGGAGUGUUAUAGCCCAUUGUGUAAUACCCUGUGGUGGACUGAGGUUCGCGCAUCUGCAAGGAUGCUGGCGUAAUGGUCAUCAGCGA